rnacentral:rRNA from 1 species
CGCGUAGGCGGCUAUUAUAGUCAGGCGUGAAAUUCCUGGGCUCAACCUGGGGGCUGCGCUUGAUACGUGAUGGCUUGAGUGGGGAAGAGGGUCGUGGAAUUCCCAGUGUAGAGGUGAAAUUCGUAGAUAUUGGGAAGAACACCGGUGGCGAAGGCGGCGACCUGGUCCUUGACUGACGCUGAGGCGCGAAAGCGUGGGGAGCAAACAGGAUUAGAUACCCUGGUAGUCCACGCCGUAAACGAUGUGCGCUGGAUGUUGGGGGGCUUAGCCCUUCAGUGUCGUAGCCAACGCGAUAAGCGCACCGCCUGGGGAGUACGGCCGCAAGGUUGAA